GAUGAACGCUGGCGGCGUGCCUAAACCAUGCAAGUCGAGCGAAGGAACGGAAACUUGGUUUUUUGGUGGUAAGCGGCGGCGGGGGGGUAAACCGGGGGAAACCCACCUUUAAGACUGGGGAAAAUUCGGGAAAACGGGACCAAAACCGGGAAAAAUUUUUGAACCCAUGGGUUAAAAGGGAAAAAACGGCUUUCCGUUAAUUAUAGGUUGAUCCGCGCUGCAUUAGCUAGGUGGUAAGGUAACGGCUUACCAAGGGCACGAUGCAUAGCCGACCUGAGAGGGUGAUCGGCCACACUGGAACUGAGACACGGUCCAGACUACUACGGGAGGCAGCAGUAGGGAAUCUUACGCAAUGGGUGAAAGCCUGACGGAGCAACGCCGCGUGAGUGAUGAAGGUCUUCGGAUCGUAAAACUCUGUUAUUAGGGAAGAACAUAUGUGUAAGUAACUGUGCACAUCUUGACGGUACCUAAUCAGAAAGCCACGGCUAACUACGUG
rnacentral:rRNA from 1 species